UGACCUUCGAGACCCACGGUAUGGGCUGUU
rnacentral:sRNA from 1 species